rnacentral:misc_RNA from 1 species
GGCAAUUUGGUGGGUUUCAUGGAUUAUCCAAUCGGCAAAGGCUCAAGUCAAUUGGAGUGCAUGUCAAACCCAGCGCCACAGCACAAACUUCAUCUGCGAAAACCUACGGGUCCAAAGUGGAUGUUGCCAACAUCUGGGUUUGAGAACAGCCAAAAUUCAGCUUGUUAAUGAAGAAAUUAGCAAAAUAUAGGAUUAAUUAGUAUCGUACUAUGACCUAAUAGCAGCCUUUAAUAGUUUGAUGUAUAUGCUUGUUUGGAAUUGGAUGUUCCCUAUUGUAUAUCUAAGCCUGUUUGGGCCUGGUUUGGCUAAGUUGGUGCACAAACUCUCAUGUCUAAAAUGUUUCGUUUUGGGUUUAAAGACCCAGUAAGCAUUGUCAAUAUAUAUAUAUAUAUAUAACCGAACCUGUUACGGAUAUUAUUUUUCAAAUUCGAAUUUAUUUCAAACUGAUUGUAUAAUAUCUAAAUCUAUUCGGUCAUAUUGGAUACCCACAAAAAUUCGAUCCGUUAUCAUUCCU